GACGAACGCUGGCGGCGUGCUUAACACAUGCAAGUCGAGCGGAAAACUUCGGUUUUCAGCGGCGGACGGGUGAGUAACACGUGGGCAACCUGCCUCACAAUGAGGGAUAGCCUUCCGAAAGGGAGAUUAAUACCGCAUAAGACAGUAACUAGGCAUCUAGUAGCUGUUAAAGAUUUAUCGAUGUAAGCUGGGCAUGCGUCCAAUUAGUUAGUUGGCGAGGUAAUGGCUCACCAAGACGAUGAUUGGUAGGGGAACUGAGAGGUCAAUCCCCCACACUGGCACUGAGAUACGGGCCAGACUCCUACGGGAGGCAGCAGUAGGGAAUAUUGGGCAAUGGGCGCAAGCCUGACCCAGCCAUGCCGCGCGCAGGAAGAAGGCGUUAUGCGUUGUAAACUGCUUUUAUACAGGAAGAAACGACCCUUGCGAGGGGCAUUGACGGUACUGUAUGAAUAAGCACCGGCUAACUCCGUGCCAGCAGCCGCCGUAA
rnacentral:rRNA from 1 species